CAGGAAGUGCAACUAGCCUUAUCCGGUUCGGUUUUUAAACAUAGUUUCUCACUACUUUGCCUAAUAAAUAAGCAGAUUUAGUGUCUCUUUUUUUUAUUCAUUCAAAGUCAUACAUAUUUCAUAGAAUUUCUUCAUUGGAAAGCUGCUUCUUAGAUACUUAUAUAUAAUCAGAUAUGAAGCAAAAGAUGGUUCUGAAGGUGCAAAUGAACUGUGAGAAAUGUCGAACACAGGCUUUGAGGAUUGCUGCUGCUUCACAAGGAAGCAUGUGAGCUGCAAUAUAACACUUAACGCCAAAGUUGAUGAAUAAGUUGAUAGAAGGACUUGAUUGGAACGAUAUUAUAAUUUGAAGAUUCAGUUGGGACAUUUUGAAGUUCAGGAUCAAUUAGAAUUGGUAAAAUGUAAAAGUGUGACUAGCAUGGCAAUACAAGGGCAAGAAAAAGAUGAACUAAUGGUAGCUGGAAACGGAGUGGACUCAGUUAAGUUGACUCGUUGUUUAAGAAAGAAGCUUCACCAUGCUACCAUAUUGAUCGUAGAAGAAAUAAAAGAGAAGAAGAAAGAAGAGAAGAAAGAUGAUGAAAAAUAUACCUCGCCUUAUUAUGUAUGUUAUCCCCAUAUCCCAUGCCUCCACAAAUUAUGGUUCAAGAUCCAUGCCAAUACCAAGCAUGUUCCAUCAUGUGAUGCAUCACUUAUCCAUCAAGUUUAUGUUACUCCAUUCCCGACCUACACAAGAUUAUACUCAGGGUGUAAAAUGGAUGAAAAAACCUCAAGAUAUAAUGAAAGGAGGAUGCAAAUAUGUAUUUGAUAUGAUUAUAAAUUAGAAUAAAGGUCGAUCGAGUCUUAGCUCUAGUAACACCGGUAUUAUUGUCAUAGAAGAAAGGCUUUAGGGACUUGCUUUUAUAUAUAGUACAAUUAAUAUUUUUGUAUGACAAGUACAAUUAAAUUGAUAAUAUCAACGAUUGGAUUAUUAAAAUAUUAAUCGUAAACUAAAG